CUGGAGCAAUCCUGGUGGCGAGUGGCGAACGGGUGAGUAAUAUAUCGGAACGUGCCCAGUAAUGGGGGAUAGCCCGGCGAAAGCCGGAUUAAUACCGCAUACGACCUACGGGUGAAAGCGGGGGAUCGCAAGACCUCGCGUUAUUGGAGCGGCCGAUAUCAGAUUAGCUUGUUGGUGGGGUAAAAGCCUACCAAGGCGACGAUCUGUAGCUGGUCUGAGAGGACGACCAGCCACACUGGGACUGAGACACGGCCCAGACUCCUACGGGAGGCAGCAGUGGGGAAUUUUGGACAAUGGGCGCAAGCCUGAUCCAGCCAUGCCGCGUGUGGGAAGAAGGCCUUCGGGUUGUAAACCACUUUUGUCAGGGAAGAAACGGUCUGAACUAAUAUUUUGGACUAAUGACGGUACCUGAAGAAUAAGCACCGGCUAACUACGUGCCAGCAGCCGCGGUAAUACGUAGGGUGCAAGCGUUAAUCGGAAUUACUGGGCGUAAAGCGUGCGCAGGCGGCUUUGCAAGACAGAUGUGAAAUCCCCGGGCUCAACCUGGGAACUGCAUUUGUGACUGCAUGGCUAGAGUACGGUAGAGGGGGAUGGAAUUCCGCGUGUAGCAGUGAAAUGCGUAGAUAUGCGGAGGAACACCGAUGGCGA
rnacentral:rRNA from 1 species